rnacentral:rRNA from 1 species
UACGUAGGGUGCAAGCGUUGUCCGGAAUUAUUGGGCGUAAAGAGCUUGUAGGCGGUUUGUCGCGUCUGCUGUGAAAUUUCGGGGCUCAACCCCGAACUUGCAGUGGGUACGGGCAGACUAGAGUGUGGUAGGGGAGACUGGAAUUCCUGGUGUAGCGGUGAAAUUCGUAGAUAUCAAGCGGAACACCGGUGGCGAAGGCGGCCUUCUGGACAGUGACUGACGCUGAGACGCGAAAGCGUGGGGAGCGAUCCGG